GACGAACGCUGGCGGCGUGCUUAACACAUGCAAGUCGAACGGUGAAGCGCCUUCCUUUUUGGUGGGUGUGGAUGAGUGGCGAACGGGUGAGUAACACGUGAGUAACCUGCCCCCUUCUUCUGGAUAACCGCAUGAAAGUGUGGCUAAUACGGGACAUUCUGGGUCUGUCGCAUGAUGGGUCUGGGAAAGAUAUUGUUUCGGUGGGGGAUGGGCUCGCGGCCUAUCAGCUUGUUGGUGGGGUGAUGGCCUACCAAGGCGGUGACGGGUAGCCGGCCUGAGAGGGUGGACGGUCACACUGGGACUGAGACACGGCCCAGACUCCUACGAGAGGCAGCAGUGGGGAAUAUUGCACAAUGGGCGCAAGCCUGAUGCAGCGACGCCGCGGGAGGGAUGGAGGCCUUCGGGUUGUGAACCUCUUUCGCCAGUGAAGCAGGCCUGCCUCGUUUGUGGGUGGGUUGACGGUAGCUGGAUAAGAAGCGCCGGCUAACUACGUG
rnacentral:rRNA from 1 species